rnacentral:tRNA from 1 species
UCCAUUGUGUAGCAGUUAGCACAUCUGUUUUACACACAGAAUAUCCUGGGUUCACACCCCAGUGGA